rnacentral:lncRNA from 1 species
UGCUAAUGACCCAGGGAUGGGGCUGGCUGUGCUAUAGACACGUUAGAGGUCAGCGCAAGUCUGUUUUCAGGGUUUCUCCAGUGGCUGCUGGGCUGACUCCAUUGUGGAGAGCUGACACUUGCGCUGCCCUAUAAUGCCCUGGACAAGGAUGGAUUCUUUAAGGAGACCCAGCUUUAAGGAGAGUAAGCCAUUUGAGCUCUAAAAAAGAGUUUUCAGAGUGAAACUAAAAUCUUGCCAGAAAGAACUAAUUUCCAGAUGCCUUGUUCUUCCUUCUUUCUCCUUCUCUCCCUUGCUGCCUUCCUUCUCUUCUUACUGUUAAUGUUUAUCUUAGUCGCCUCAAGCUGAUAUAAUAAAUAUGUCAGAGACUGGAUGGCUUAAACAGCAAAAUUUAUUUCUUGCAGUUCAGGAGUCUGGAAUUCCAAGAUCAAGGUGCCAGCAGAUUCGGUGUCUGGUGAGGGCCCACCACCUGGUUCACAGUUGGCCAUCUUCUCAUUGUAUCCUCACAUGGUGGAGGGCACAGAGAGGAGCAAACUCUCUCCUGCAUCUUCUUAUAAUGGCACUAAGCCCAUUCAUGAGGGACCUAUCCUCAUGACCUAAUCGCCUUCCAAAGGUUUCCUCUCCUAAGACCAUCCCACUGGGGAUUGGGCCUCAACAUAUGAAUUUUUGAGACACCCAAGCAUUCAAUUAAUGGUAGUACCCAAAUUCAAAACAUGUAUUGAGCAACCUGUGUACAAGAACUGGCAAUAAUAGUAAUAGGUACCAAUUAUGGAGAUUGCACUAUAGGUUGUGAAGAAGAAAUGACAGUCAAUUCCUCUGAUGGGGCCAGGACUUUCUGUUUUCUUACAUGGAACUGGGACUGAUGAAGAGAUUUAAGGAAGCAAGGAAGAUAAUAUUUCAACAAGGGGGGCAUGAGCUACAGUAUCACAUGUUGCCAAGGUGAAAUGCAAACUAUGUCUACUGGACUUGCAAGUUGUUCUCUACAAAGAGGUUCCAGCAGCCGGGCGCAGUGGCUCAAGCCUGUAAUCCCAGCACUUUGGGAGGCUGAGGUGGGUGAACCACCUGAGGUCAGGAAUUUGAGACCAGUCUGGCUGACAUGGCGAAACUCCGUCUCUACUAAAAAUACAAAAAUUAGCUGGGUAUGGUGGCGUGUGCCUGUAAUCCCAGCUACUCAGGAGGCUUAGGGAGGAGAAUCACUUGAACCUGGGAGGUGGCCUUUGCAGUGAGCCGGGAUUGUGCCACUGCACUCCAGCCUGGGCGACAAGAA